CAUGGUUCCUAGUUGGAUUCGUUAACCACUGAGCCACGACGGGAACUCCAUCAAAUCGCAGUCUUAUUAAUGAAUAUUGGUGGACAAUAUCAGCUCUGUGUCCCUCCAGAAUUCACACGUUGAAAUCUUAACCCCCAAAGAUGAGGAUUUUAGGAGCUGGGGCCUUUGGGAGGUGACUAGACUCCCAGGGAGUAGCCCUCCUGGAGGGACCUCGCAGAGCUCCCCAGCCCCUCCUGCUCUGUGGGGACAUAGUGAGAAGGCUCCAGCUCUGAAGCAGAGAGGGCCUUCACCGGAACAGGACCAUGCUGGUGCCUUGAUCUUGAACUUCCUAGCCUUUGUAACUGUGAGCAAUACAUUUUUGCUGUUUAUAAGCUACUCAGUCUAUAGUAUUUUGUUAUUAGCAGCCCUAACGGACAAUAUCAAGCGGGUUGGAUUUGGUCAUAUCACCUUCCUUUCAUCAGGUUCUAGGGGUCACAUUGAUUUAAUCGAGACUUCGCUGAUGCCAAGGUCUUUGGCAUGGCUCAUCGGCUCAUUGCUGAUCCCAGGAGAAGACUGAGUGCCUACAACUGAGGUGUUGAGCCCAGGAGCGCACCUUCCUGCGGCCACAGCGCCAUCUCAGAAUCAGCUUCCAGGGGGACACAGCCUGUGACGUGGCUGGUGGGCAGCAGCCAGACUGAACACAUCGCAAAGAUGCAGCUGAAUGGAUUUGCUGGUGGAUUGGACAAAACAUCUUUCUAUUUGUGUCCUUAGUAAUAGGUCAACUUCCACUUCUAGGAGCACAUUCUUAACUUCGAUUUGGAAUACUCCCAACGGUUACCUGCUUUUAGAGAGAGUCUCCUGUGGCAGACACUUUAAUUUGAGGAAUGUCGGAGUGAAGCGUGAAUAUAUGUGUGCAAUCAUGACCCAGUCGUCGCUAAUUCAGUGAGACACAGGGUUCUCAGCAUUUGUUGAAAGAGUGAACCAACAGAUGCUGGGCCGCCACGUGGGACAGUCCACAUCCUCGAUGCUGCGCUGUCCCCACCGGGCAGCGGCAGAUGCUGAAACAGAACAUCCCUGGCCCCACAAGGGGGUGCCCUUACAGUUCCCAGCCCCGAAGAGCUCUUCUAGACCAGGUGGAAACGGGAUGCUCUUGGAGUUCAGAGGUAAUCUAUCACCCAGGAGAAAAAAAACAGGUAGUUUCUACACCCCAAAUGAGGGCUUUGAAGACAAUUAUUCUUAUACUAACUCUGGCUCUGGAACAGGUGUCUCUUUGGAGAUCAGGGGAAGAGAGUACACAGUUCUAGACAGAUGCUAAUAUUAGGGAGCAAGCCUAGGGGUGAGAGUAUGCAGCUCACUCUUUUGCUUUCUGAUUCUUCUUCUUCUAACAUUCUUCUCAGUCAUCUUAACAACAGUGAGUUUAAGACUGUGAUUGAGAAAGUACCACUUUGGGAGCAUAAGAACAUUUGAUCCUCUUGCAAUCCCACAUGCAUGCCUGACACCCCCACCCCCCCACCACUACCCAAGCUAUGUUUGGAACGAAGAAACUCUUGCUGACACUGUAAAAAUUUGCUUUAUUUGGAGACCAACCAGACAGGUGGAGUCUUCAGGUCUCCUUUGGGACCUAACAAUCUCUUAGUGCCUUUCAGUUGCUCUCAUAGCUCUGACAGAAAACCUUAUUUUCAGAAUUGGUAUUUAUCCUAGUUGACCUUUGUUGAUAAAUCUCCUUUCCCCCAUUGGUUUUGGUAGAUUUAUUUUUGCUAGACUCAGACUGAGUGAUAGGCUGUCUUCUCAGAUGUACAGACAAACACAUUACUAGGAGACCUGUUUAGCUACCCGUAAGCAAACACCAAAUCGAAUAUUUAGCAAUUCCUUUUUUUGAAGCUGGAGGGAAGGGAAAAGGGUCCAGGGAAGCUGACUCCCAGUUCCAAGAAAGUAGAGAUGCUCUUUGUGUACUUUUCUCUAGAUGGUUAUCGGUUGUAGCCAACGGCUGCCUGGUCAACCUCUCAUACCUCUGUGACCACAUCAAGGUGAUGAUGUCGAUCGAACCUCUGCAGACCUGUCUGCCCCAAGGCAGCAGAUCUUGUCUUGGGUGACGAUUUGAUGAAGCCCAUGUCAUCCCCGCAGGGAGAAAGGGAGAAGCAAUUCAGACAAUACUCCUUUGGCAGCAACAAUAUUUCUGAGGCUGGUUUCUUUGAACACAAAUAAGAUGGUGACUGAUAGACAUGUCAGAGCUUUUUAGAGACAUGUCCUGUUUUAUAUGUGUUCUGCCAUGAUCAGAAAUAACAGUAAAUUAGUCUUUUAUGGCUUCCAAGAAAAAAGCCCCUCUUCUUUUUGUUUGUUGCACACGAAUCUUCUAGGAAGAAGAAGGGGAGUGAAGAUUUUCAAAAGGUUUGGCUUCCCCACUGCUGAUGUAAUGUUCCACCCCCACAUGUGCAGACGCUGGAAUGUACAGAAGAGAAGAGAUAAGAAAACGGAGGCCUGAGGAUUCUGUGACUUGCCUGGCAUCCCACAGCUCACCUGGAGGCCAGAUUCUGAGAUUCUGUCACUGGUGCCACCUCAGAAGGCCCCCUUGUCCUUUCUUCUACACCAGUGGUUCUCAACUAAGGGCGGCUUUGCCUUCCAGGGGACGUUUGGCCGUGUCUAGAGCAGCAAGCCCGCUGGCAGCCGCCCUGCCAGGAAGAAAUUGAGUUCCGCAGAGGCCCGCAGCCCCCGCCAGCUGACAGCCCGUGGUGUGUGGGGACGGCUGUUGCUUGGCGGCACCUGGGAACAGGCCGGGUGAGAUGGCCUGAGCACGUGGUCUCCCCUUCCGACCGACCCAUCCGUCAGCAGCAGCCCCUGCCAGAAGAUGGCCUAUUGAACAUUUCCAGGAAUAGCGCUGCCAAGCCUGUCCACUGCUUUCUUGGAAAUACACUCAAUAAGGAUGGCGGGGCUCCAGCAGGGAGAGCAGAAAGCCCGGCCUGGACCGAGCUGCUCGGCAACGGCAGCGCCUGCCUGCGGGCCCAGCCUAAGGACGUUUCCAGUGUGCACUGACCUUGUGGCUACACGCAAGCAUCCGCGGUCACAGCCAAAUGAAAUGGAGGAAGUGGAGAAGAUGCUUCCAUCACCUGCCAUGGUCUGGCCUGACAUACGCCUCUCCUGCUCACAGCCCAUUUGGCAGCAUGGUCAUGUGGCCCCAACCAAUGCAAGCGAGGAAGUGAGGCGGGGAGCACAUGGAUUUUCCCCUCCCAGAGUCUCUACCUCACUGGCCAAACCCGACUUCAAGUUAAGAGCGACUGCUGGCAACUUUACUAACCAGAUACUUUCGGGACCCUGUGAAGAUGGCAGGAAACGGAACAGAACAAAACUAUUACGUUCAUGGAAAGCACGGCUGGCGUCCUGGGCAGCACCAGCUGCACACUUGGAAAAAGGAAAAUACAGACCCCUUGUUCAAAGAGCAGGGGGAAAAAAAAGGCAGUUAAAGAACUCUUCAAAUCCAGGACAUCCAUCACACCGUUGGAAUUUGAGGGGCCCACCAGAGCUUGCAAUAUGCAUAUUCUAAGGAGAAGCGGAUACAAGCCCACUCAUUUGUAUUUCUUUAAACACAACGUGAGGAAGGAAAAAGAAAAAAGGAAGAAGAGAAGAAAAAAGUUAAAAGAAAAAAAUUAAAAGAAGAAAACCCAAUGUUUUGAAAAUUUAUCAUUGAUGGAGACGAAGGGCACCAUUAAGAGGGCAGGUAGAUGCUUGCUCUUAAAAUCCCAGGUGAGGACAAACAGGUCAGUUCUUUAGGCAGCUAUACCUGAGAGGUGGUAUAUGCACUUUUUUUUUUUUUUUAAAUCCAUCAGAGAGAAGUGCCCCAGCAUGAGAAUUCUUAUGUUAAUAAUAAUUUAAAUUAAAACUAGUACAUUCCACAGACACUAUUGAAAAAGUGGGAAGUAUUAAAUGGGGGAAAUAGCCACUAUCCUCUCCUCCAAUUGUACUCCCUUAUUACAUAAGUAAUUUUAUCAUUCUUUUUCAUAUGCAUAUUUAAUUUUUAUGUCGUUGUCAUCAGAUGCCCUUGGGUUCACCUUGCAGAACUUCUGGGUGUGAAUGUGGACUCCAGCACUUGGUAUCUCUAUGACAUGGCAAGUUAUUUAAGCUCUUUGGGCCUCAAUUUUCUCAUCUCAAAGAGCACUAAAAAUAGUACCUACCUGAGGAUUAAAUGAGGCAGCUUCUACAGAAUGCCUCGUUCCAUGCCUGGCACACACUUGGUUGAUUAUAACCAUUGUGCUUACCCAUCAUUAAAGUAAGGCAUCUCUUAAAACCCAGGUUGGCUGGGGCAGGAGAAUUUAGCAGUUGAAGUCUGUGUUUUCUUCCCCAUUUUUCCCCUUUCCUGUAAUGAUGUGUUCUGGAAUCUCUUUUCUCUAGCUGCCCCAGCCCCCAUGCAAUCCAAGAUGAAAGAAGCAACACACACUGUUAAGCACCCAAAAUGUGCUGGUAAGAACCAUACUAGGACUUGGGAAAACGAAACAGUGACGCUAGAUGAUAUUGUGGAGGAGUAGCUGUGCCCCAGUGCUGUGCCCAGCUCUGUCUGAACCAGUGCCCUCUGGCGUGGCCACAGUGGUUUGCAUACAGCUGAGGAGUUUGCUUCUCGGGAAGUUUACUGUUACAGGUUGAAGUGUGUCCCCAUCCCCCUCAAAUUCAUAGGUUGAAGCCCUAACCCCCAGUUCCUCAGAAUACAACUGUAUUAGGAGAUAGGGCAUUUAGAGAGGUGAUUAAGUUAAAAGGAGACUAUUGGGGUAGACCUUAAUCCAGGCUGACUGGUAUCCUUAUAAGAGGAAAUUGGAACACCUGGGAUGCACUGACCCAGAAGAAAGGCCACGUGAGGACAUGGCAAGUAGGCAGCCACCUGCCAAUGAGGAGGGAGGCCGCAGAGGAAACCAAACCGGCCGACACCUCAGUGUUGGACUUCCAGCCUCCAGAGUGCUGGGAAAAUCACUCUCUUUUGUUUCAGCCACUCAACCUGUUAUAUUUUGCAGUCAUAGAAGACUAAUAGAGUUACAUAACUUUUAAAAUCUUUGGGAGUAUAAAUCCUUCAAAGAGAAGGACAUUCUGACACAUGCUACAACAUGGCAACCUUGAAGACCCUAGGCAAAGUGGAAUAACUCGUUCACAAAAGAACAAAUGCUGCAUGAUUCCACUCAGCGGUGAUACCGGGAGUAACCAAACUCACAGAGACAGAAAAUAAAACAGUGGUAGCCAGGGUCUGGGGGAGAGAGGAUGGGGGGCUCUCCCUAAGAGAGCCUAAGAUCUGAAGGGCCUCGGUAUUUGCUUGCUCUUUUGGUUUGAACUGACCCAUGUGGCCCUUCCUGGGGAACCUCCAGGCCCUCCCCUUGGACCCUAAGAAAGGCAUGUGCCCAGGUUCUGUCUCUCUGUGCUCUGCCUCAGCCACCCCAGCUGGUCCCCUGACGGGGGCCUUACUUCCUCGAGGACCUGGAAGUAGUAAGUCGCUCUGUCUCAGUUUCUCCUGUGGUCUGUUGGUGAACUGCAUUCACCAUCCAGCCCCCUGUGCUCCACUUAACAAAGGUUAAUUUAACAAAGUCACAGCACAGAGACAAACCCAAACUGAGGGACAUUCUGCAACAUUAACUGGCCUUGAAAUUUUCAAAAGUGUCAAGGUUGCAAAAGACAAGACUUGGAAACUAUUCCAGACUGAAGGAGACAGACAAACGACUAGCUUGGGUCUGGACCACAUAGCUUUGCUGUGAUGGACAGGGUCGGGACACAUGGCAUAACUCAAGCGGGGUCUGAGGAUUAGACUGUGGUGGAGUGUCAGUGUGCACUUCCUGAUCUGGACGCUUCGACUGUGGUUGUACGGGAUGCUGUCCUUGCCGGUAGGAAGUGCACACGCAGGUACGCAGGAGUGACGGGCCAUCAGAUCAGCACCUUACUACCAGAUGGUUUAGGAAGUAACCAUUCUUUGUGCUGUCCUCCAGCUAUCCUGUAAGUGUAACUGUGUUUCCAAAAAAAUAGAAAAGAAUGAAGAAAAAGAAGCAAUACGUUGUUUGGUUAGGAGGUAGCCAUGGUCUCUCUGAGUUUUUUUUGCAGCUGGUUUCAGGUACUGACUUGUGGUCGCUCCUGAACUUGACCGCCUUCUUGAGUCUCCUGAUGAGUGGGGAUGCCAGCGAGAUUUGGGAGGCUCUCGAAAGCUGCACUGUGACAGCAUGUCUUCCCUAUUUGAUGUCUCGUGGCUGUCCUUUCCUCUCGUUGUUUUCCUGUCAUACUGCCUUGGUCUCUCCAACUUCUUUCUUCCUUUAAACAAACAAGUGAAAAGGAUACAACUUCUCAGAAUAAAUGAUAAGGUGUUACUUUGUGA